CACAGCUCUCACUGUAAGGUCUGGCAGACAGAGGAGUUACAGAGACCUCUUCAAGGAAGAAAGGACUCCACUCACAAAUUUAUUUCUCACAGCCAUGGCAAAAGCGAAGAACUCUGGUCUUAGAAAACUACCUAGAUCACAGAUUCCAGCAUGAAAAGACAUCUGGAAACUGAUGGGACACACUCUGAAGAGGAACAAUAAAUUAUUUAGCCUAACCAACAGCAACGUCCCCAGAAGCAAAACUAUACAGAAAUAGACUUCUCCACUGGAAGGACAUAUGGAAAUCAGGAAUCAAGGCAGGAGGUGCCUCUGAUGAAAAGGAUGUGGGAGUCUUCGGCUCACUGAUAACUGUGAGAAGAUGUCAUAAAGAUGGUUUUAUAGGAAAAAGAACCAUUCUCUGUUUCCGCCACAGCCAUGAGGGCCGGUCAUUUGGCUUGAAUUUCAAAGGCUACACACAAUUCUUUAGAAAUGCAGGGAGAAACUUUGCUAAAUAAGGGUCAAGUAUGCUCAGUCAGAAUGCAUGUGUAGUAUCAGGAGCAAAUGUUGGAAGCUACUUUAUCCUAUCACAUAAGAAUGAUGAAACUAUUAAGAAUAUCUCUGUUUGAAUGCAGUUAUAGUCUCUUAAUGUAAGAAUUUUCACACGGCAUAUGUUACUCAAUGGUUUAUCAGUUUCAACACUUUUCCAGCAAGGAUGAACUUUUUCUUCUAUUUUAUUAUAAGGGAAGCAAACUUUUAAAAAAUAUUUAGUUUUUUGCACAAUUUUCAUCCCCAAGGAACAAAAAUCUAAAAAAAACAAUCCUAAACAAAAAUCUUUCAGUGAUUUUUGCUUAGGACUACAAUAUUGAUUACUGAGUAACUAGAUGAACACUAGUGUAGUUUUCAUACCUCUUACAUUUUAAAAAAGCUAAUGAACAUUUCAUACCACUGUCAGAUAGUCUAUCUGCAUAAGCAGCUAUUCCACUUACUAGUAGUUUAAAGUUUUUAAUCCACUAGCAACAUAAGAUAAUGGUAUUCUUGAUUUAAAAUGUAAUAAAAAUAUAGCACCCUCAU
rnacentral:lncRNA from 10 species